AGUUUAGCAAAAUGCCGAGUGGUGGGAAAACGGCUCACAAGUCCUAACCUUCAUCGGAUCGGAAUGACCACAGGCGAUCACAAUUCACCGACUACGUUCGCCGGAAGCGAGAGUAUUUCACGGAACUGUAAGCCGACGGACGGCCAGGGAAGAGAAAUUUCCGGUCGCCGUCGUCACUGUUAGCCGGCCAAAGCAAAAGCAAUCUGUGAAGGAGGUGGAGGAAAGCUCCGGUGCGGAGGAACAAGUCCAGAAUCCUCAGUUUCGGGAACUCAAAUAGAAGCUCCGUUUUAUCAGCCAUGGACAAGUACUUGGUUCCUUCCGAUUCUACAUCACAAAAUCCUAAACCGUUGCCGAGCAGGAAUAGGUGGAAACUAAGCAACGUCGAAUUGAAUGGGAAGUUUGAUCCGAAGUACCGUCAGGACUUGUCCGUGCUUCUAAUGCAAUCUUAUACCGAGGUUGGAGCGUUUCCUCAUUUGUAUCACAUAGACGGCAUUUUCUGUCCAACUAGUUUGAAUCGGAUUGCCAAUCGAGCUCAGGAUCAUCUACUGCCAUUUAAGAAACAAGGCAUAUCUGCUGUGGACUUUGACAACAAGGGAAUAUACUUGGUUUCAGUAACGAAAACAGGUUGUUUAACAGUGCACGACUUUGAAAGUCUUUAUUUCCAGACUAAUGAAGCAGGGUCGAGUGAAGACGAGAUCAAACACUUACUGCACCUUUCCUUAAAGGAACAGCUAGACUUUGUAAGGUGGAAUCCUGCCAACCAAGAUGAGGUGGUCUGUACAUCCAUGAAAAGUAAGGAACUAAGAAUCUUUGACAUUGGUUAUAUUUCUUCUAAACCAGUCGAAGUGUUGAGGGCAAGACAAAGCAUCAACAAUUUAGGGACUGAUAAUCAUAAAGGUUUAUCUGACAUAGCAUUUAUUUCAGAUAAUUCAAGGUUACUUGCGUCUGAUACAUGUGGUGGAAUCAAUAUGUGGGACAGAAGAAUUGGAACACUUCCAUGUCUUGAGCUUACCAGUAAUUCGUGCAGCACCCUUAACAGAAUCCAGCUGAAUGUUGAAAAUCAGAUUAUCUUUGGUUCUGGUAAGCAUGGAAUUAUCUAUAUUUGGGAUCUUCGUGGAGGGAGAACAUCUGGUGCCUUUCAAAAUCAUAAAGAGGUGUGCCAUCCUCCUCUAAAAUCAUUGAAGUUAGCCUCAAUGAUAGAGAAAAUUGGGACUCUGAAGGAGCAAGCAAAUAUCAUUCCAAAGGAAAUACACUCUAUUGACCUCAACCCAGCUUGUCCUUAUCAGUUGGCCUUCCAUCUUGAUGACGGUUGGUCAGGUAUUUUGGAUGUAUAUAAUUUUCAGGUCACACACAUUCAUUGCCCACCACCAGCUUGGUUAAAUGAUUCCAACAUGUCCUCAGAUCAAUUGUUUUUGAGGAAACCAUCAUGGCUGCCUACAGAUUCUGUAAGUUUCCUUAACCUGUGCUUCUAUUUUGUUUCAUCACUUUUUGACACAGUAGCAACCCAGUGUUAUAUAGGAAUAUUUGCACGACCAGAAUUGUUCUGUCAAAAUCUUCAAUCAUACAGCACAACAACAAUAUGUGGUGGUCAGUUUUUCUGGAUUUUUGCAGUCGGAUCUUCUUCUGAUGAAGGUAUUCAUCUUUUGGAUUUUCAUCCUGACUCCCGCUCUCCCAGCCAUGUGGACUACAAUGAUGAUUUAAUUAGUGCUGGAGGAGAAAACAAAAAACGACAAAACAGAUUUGUUAAAUUGUCUGAAGGAGUUACUUCUUGUGCUGCUCACCCCCUCAAUGGCACCAUUAUAGCCGGAACAAAGAAUUCAUCUUUGAUCAUGAUUUCCCAGAAGAAGCAAUCAAUUUAGAAGCAGAGAUUGAUUAAACAAAUUCCCAGCUCCUAUUUGAACCCAAAAUGUGAGCUAUUGAGUUUGGCGGAGAAUACAAAUAUUUGGAACUCCAAGGGCAAUUGAAAAAUGCCUUCAGAACUCGGAAAUUUAGUAUCCUACUGCAUAUCAACAUUUAUGGAGUUCCAUCUCAAAACCAAUUGACAAUUUUGAUCGGAUCCUAUUUUUGGACCAAAUGUUCGUCGAUGAGAGGAUUAGCCCAGGUGUAUUAUAAACUUAUGUAAGGUCUCUUCUUUUAUCAAUAUGGGAUCCUUAACCGUACCUAUUUUUUUUUUCAAUUAAGAUUUACCAUAGUAAGGCGAGUAUCAAAUCAGUUGAUAACAACUACUUAUCUACUGAGUUAUACUUUAA